AACGUACGCUGGCGGCACGCCUAACACAUGCAAGUCGAACGCAGUAGCAAUACUGAGUGGCAGACGGGUGAGUAACAUGUGGGAAUCUGCCUUGUGGUUCAGGACAACAUUGGGAAACCGAUGCUAAUACUGGAUAAGCCCUUACGGGGAAAGUUUUAAUGCCAUAAGAUGAGCCCGCAUUUGAUUAGUUAGUUGGUGAGGUAAUGGCUCACCAACACAUUGAUCAAUAACUGAUCUGAGAGGAUGAUCAGCCACACUGGGACUGCGACACGGCGCAGGCUCCUACGGGAGGGAGCGGUGGGGAAUCUUGCACAGUGGGGGAAAUGCUGAUUUAGCGAUGCCGCGUGAGUGAAGAAGGCCUUUGGGUUGUAAAGCUCUUUUGUAGGGGAAGCUAAUGACUGUACCCUAAGAAUAAGGUCCGGCUAACUUCGUGCCAGCCGCCGCAGUAA
rnacentral:rRNA from 1 species